UUCACCGUCCUCCACUGGAAUAAAACGAUUCUUAACGAGGAAGACAAAAUCCUUGCCUCGCUUGGAGGUCUUCUCCGGCGGAGAAGACGAGGACGAGAAGGAACGCCGGCGUAGCCGAAAACGGAGAGUUGCGCCUGAAGGAUGUUUCACGGUGUACGUCGGAGCAGAGAGGCAGAGAUUCGUGAUCAAAACAGAGUGUGCUAACCAUCCUCUGUUCCGAUCGCUGUUGGAGGAGGCGGAGGCGGAGUACGGAUACAACUGUCAAGCGCCGCUAUCGCUACCUUGCGAUGUUGAGAGUUUUUAUAGCGUAUUGAUGGAGAUGGAUGACGACAGCGCCGGUGAUCUCCGCCGUGGAUGUGGGUAUCCAACUCCGAAGAGAUUUGGAUAUAAUCUUCUCAGUCCACGAUCUUCAUCGCUGGUUGUAAAUUAAAUCAGUUUUCCACUUCAGAUUCUCUACUUCUCUCUCUUUUGAAUUUAAAAGUGGUUUUUUUAAUUUGUGUUGGUUGGUGGUUUUAGAUUUUAGGAUUAUGUGUUGUUGUUCUUGUUGCAAAAGGUGGUGUUAUGAAUGUGGUGUUUUGUUGUUGUAAGGGUUCGUCUUUUAAAAACCGAAUCGAUUUGGUUUUAAUUAAUCGAUCGGUUCGUUCUUUUAGCAAACUUAUAUAUACAUUAAAGUUGGAAUUUGUCUAAAAUCGAUUUAAACAAAUUUGUAUAAUUAGACCGAACAUAGCUCAAAGUUUGACAAUUCAUCUGAAAGGUAAAAAAAAACGAUACAAAUAUGUCCAAUCUAAAUUAAGCUAACAGUAAUUAACUAGAAUUUGUGGAACAAAAUUAGAAACCAUAUAAAAGGAACGAAUGCAUGAAUUUGUUUAGUCAUUGUCUAAUAAUUCUUAUUAAUUUGAACGAGAAGUUUUAAUUAAAGAACCAUAAAUAAAAUCUUAAUCAAACACAAAAAUUCAGCCAAAUAGGCACUAAAGGCCAAUGAUUAAGCAUAAAUUUGAUGAUUAGGCUAAGAGCCAUAUCAAGGGGCAAUGGAAAAAUAAAAGGUUUUAAUUAAGAGAUCAAAUAGGCCUUAAAUGGAGGUAACCUACUUACAAUUUUCUUGAAAUUAAAAUAUAACAAAGUCAAAUAGAAGCUAACAAUUUUGCAUCGUUAGAUGUAUUAUAGCGAAACUAUAAAAAUAUUUGAAUGUUUUAUAUAUUUAGAUGUAAACUAUUGGACAAAUACGAUGACUUUGUAUAAUCGAUUAUUUAAAAGCAUGCAACAUUUAAAACAGUACACAUGAG
rnacentral:lncRNA from 1 species